rnacentral:rRNA from 1 species
UACGGAGGGUGCAAGCGUUAUCCGGAAUCACUGGGUUUAAAGGGUGCGUAGGCGGAGGGGUAAGUCAGUUGUGAAAUGCCCCGGCUUAAUCGGCGGAACUGGGAUUGAUACUGCAUCACUUGAAUCAGGAUGAGGUAGGCGGAAUGUGGCAUGUAGCGGUGAAAUGCUUAGAUAUGCCAUAGAACACCGAUUGCGAAGGCAGCUUGCUCGGCCUGAAUUGACGCUGAGGCACUAAAGCGUGGCGAGCACACAGG